rnacentral:rRNA from 1 species
UACGGAGGGUGCAAGCGUUAUCCGGAUUCACUGGGUUCAAAGGGUGUGUAGGCGGGUAGUUAAGUCAGUGGUGAAAUCUCCAGGCUCAACCUGGAAACUGCCAUUGAUACUAUCUAUCUUGAAUAUUGUUGAGGUAGGCGGAAUAAGUCAUGUAGCGGUGAAAUGCAUAGAUAUCGUCCAGAACACCGAUAGCGAAGGCAGCUUACUAAGGAGUAACUGACGCUGAGGCACGAAAGUGUGGGGAUCAAACAGG